UAUGAUUUUUUUCAAAUUCACGUACCACUGUAUUUAUGAAAAAGACAUGAACAUUCAAAUUUUUAAUGCAUUCAUUCAUUUUUUUUUUUUACAUCUAAAAACUUUUUUGGGUGACUUGUGUGUUGUUAUGAAAUAACAUUAGCAUUACUGUAUAAAAAUACAGUAAUGUUUAGUUAUAGUUUUGGGAGGACAAGGCGAUAACCCUAAAGUCUACCUCACAUCUGACGAUAAAUAAAAUGGCUCGGAUGUUUCAACACAAACAGCCAUCCCCAAGGAAAAAAAAAUCUUUCAAAAGUGUCAAUUUAUCAGAUUUAUUCGUACAGAAUUGUAUUAAUAAAAAGUAUAUUCAUAGUAACCUUUUCAGGUUAUUUCUUUGUCAUAACAGUUGAUAACAAACUGUCAUCAAACUGGAACGUCAAGAGUUAGAUUUCAAAUAAAUACUUGCUCUUUAAGUUUUUUUCUUUCAGCACUGAAGCAGGUGGAACAUUUAAAGUCCGAUUCUACAUAAGAUCUUUAAAAUACCAUUCGCUUUUAUGGAUAAAAAAUGCUGCUAGUGAACGCAAAAAAAUUCAGGAAAUAAAUCUUGGACUUUUUCAAGUUAGUGUCUGAUCCAUCAUGUCUCACUGCGCUGAUGUUAAACUCUGUGUUUGCAGGUGUGAUGAUGCUGAGACGGGUUUAGAAGGUGGAACCCAUGAGGGCUGCAGGACAGAUGUUGGAGGCUGAGGUCAGCGUGAGUUUUCACGGCUCUUCUGUCAACAUCUUUCCUCACACUGGAUGUAGCCUGAGAAUUAUGGACAAACACUUGCGUCCGAGCGCUUUCAAAGCAGGAGUGAUAAUUUAGCCACAAUAAGAGGAGGUGCAACUUCAACAGAUCAGCCGACAGUGCAGUGGUGUGGUAACUUUUCGGGCGCAGAUGGCGGUAAGUAAGAAAGUCUGUGUUCCAACUGGCUGUUUUUGUUUUGCAGUUCUUGGAAUAGCAGCUUGAAAAUUAGUAAUCGGCGGCAUGUUCGCGCAGAGAGGCAAACAAACAUCGAUGAGCAAACAGAUAUGACGGGAACAGUCCGUUUUCAGCAUCAGUGCAAGGAUUGGCAGCCAAUAAAAGGCGGCUCAGCGUGACUAAUGCAGGAUUUUAAUAUCAGGCGACGGGACACGUGGGUUUUCCACGGUGAUCAAACACGCUCACCUUAUACUCCUGGACGGCGCCGUGCUGGACAUUCUGCUGCGGUGGCUCCCAUGAGACGCUGAUGCUGGAGGUGUUGGUGAGCUGCACCACCGACACGGCCUGCGGCGCCGAGCUGAGCGCUGACGGGGCGAGACACGUGGUGCUGUGAUCUUGGACGUUUUCCAUUUAUAUUUGACUACUUUUAAUUUUGAAGAAUCUCUCUGAGGUAGUGUUGCGGCUCAUCACUGACACACUGGAUUAUAGACGUGACAUUUUUACUCUCAAUGGCUCUGGAGAGUGUGAAAUUAAACCAGCGUGCGUGGUUUCGUCCGCCUCUAUUAUCGCCGUUACAUUUCAAGGUGAGUUUUUGUUGCGCUCACUGAGUUGGAGAAACUUCUCAUAUUUCCUGCUGAAACACUCGGAUGCCAACAGUCUGUGGAGAACUUCAUCCUUCAUGAGAUGUCUAUACCAUAUGCACUGUCGCUAUAGUAACAUCUAGGUCCUUUUAUAAGAGAAUAGCUUCUAUUGGAGGUUUAGCUACCUUCUUCAGGAGUGUGCAGCAGAACCAUGAGGCUGUCGUGACCUUGCAGCUCGUUGAAGUAAGGUCGUAUUUUGACCUCAUACUCCGUGUGGCUGAGGAGAUCCGAGAGGACGGUGGUGUGGUCCGACGUCGCCUCCACGUCCUUGACCAACCAGGAGUUUCCGAUCGUCCGGUAAAACACGCGGUAGCCUUGGAUGUAGCGCGACUGACGGGCGACCUGCAGGACACGUUUCAUCUUGAGUGAGAGAAAGUUUGAAGGAGCCCUGGGAAUCGCCGUGCAGCUGGGCGACCUUCACUCGCAGCCGAGCGCCAAAUUGUUUCACUCACCGUCCAAGAAAUCCUGGCGCUGGAUGGAGACAGCACCACGGGCUUCUGCAUGUAGACGGACACCUCUCCUAAAUCUCUCUGCACCUGCCUGUGGUCCAGGCCCUGCUCGGUCGGACUGCCGUCUGCAACACACACCGGAAAGAAUCCAGGACAAAGUCAACCAGGUAGCCAGGUCACGAUGAGCAGUCGCCUCCUCGACUGUCGAGUGAAUCGGAGGACACGGUUGUAGCCACAAGUAAAAGGCUAAAACUGGACGUCGCUCCUUCAAUAAUGUCCUGCGGACUGUAGAGCACCUCACCAGAGGUCCUCCCGAGCAACAUGGAUGGACCUGGAAUUGAAGCCCUGGACCUUCAGAUCUGGGCCAAUAACCAAUUUCCCACCUGUAGAGAGCGACCUGAACGCCGGCACGCUCCACUGCUGCUGUGCCAGUCUGCCGGAACCAUCAUGGGCCCAUAUGAGAUCAUCAGCUGCAGCGCUGACCUGGGGCUGACAGACGGCGUGUGAGCAGGAGCUUCCAUCACUCCACCCUUCCCUGCAGCAGGAGCUAAAUGCUGAGACUCUUCCACAUCCUCAAACUGAAGUAAGCGUCAACACACACUGAGCAAAAUACGUGAUUGUCUUCAUGGAAUGUUUCGGACCAGUCACUAUAGAAACACAAUGUGAAUAUUUAAAUGUGUGCGAGUGAACUGGGCACCAGCAGCCUGCUUCAUCGCCAAACACAAACUGAUUCAGAGCAGAGAACGUUCACACGCUGGAGAAGAGCCGACUCACCGUCACAUCUUUGAUUUCUAAAGUGCCGUUCUCCACCAAGGUCAGGCGAGGCCUGUUUUCCUGGACUCUCUCUCCGUCCUUCUCCCAGGAAAUCCUGAUGGAGGGUCCGCCGAUUACACGGCAGUGCAGCUGCACCGUUGUACCCGCAGAUACCGUCUGGUUGGCUGGGCCCUGACGAAUGAUGGGUGGAAUCCUGCCUGAAGGACCUGACCAGAGAAGUGGAUCCUCACACAGAAGCAGCAGCAGAAGCCAGGGCUCGACGAUAUGGGUCACAUUGUGUAUAUAAAAAACUGAAAUAUUUCACUUGACCAGCUCUUGUUAGAUCACGCACCUCCCUCCACCUCCAGCAGCGCCUUGGUCAGCACGCUGCCGGCCACACUGAUGGCCUGGCAGAUGUAGAAACCCGAGUCCUCGGGGUGGACGUCAGCGAUGGUGAGCUCGCCACUCAUGGAGACGGAGUAGCGGCCAGACUGUGAUGGCGGUUGCCCGGGAAACAGCAACAUCUGAGAAGGCGAUCAGAGGAAAGCUGGGUGAGAUGAGAGCUGACUCUGCUUCGGAUUCAUUAUUCCUGUUUACUGCGCCAAAGGUCAAGAGGCCGAGGACUCGGGCCAGGAAACGCAAGAUUUACAGGAGCUCAACCUUCAGGCAGGGAUGAAAAUCUGGGCCAGAAGUGGCAUCAUGAGGGCGUCGGCAGCUUCACACAGGCAGCACUGGAGCUGCACCAGAAGGAUGAGCGUGUCUGUUUGAUGCAGAAGGUCUGUGAGCUGACCCACAAGGCGAGUCUCAUUAAGUCCUUCAGAGGAGUGUUUGAUAAUGGAUCUGUGACUGAGGGACGGAGGCAUGGAGUUGUCUGGGCUGCACUGAGGACCUCAGAUGGAUGACAGUUCAAGGAUCUGACGGGGGGGAACCGGAGCAGGGGGGUGCAUCAUUCACGCACCUUCAGAAAACUACUGGCUUUGAAUGCAGCGUCAGUGUCACAGCAGCAGAGAAACCACGCGUCUGCUCAGGUUCUCCAACCAAGAACCAAUGAGCUUACCAGGUUUGUCGAGGGAAAACUGGGCUCAAAACCCACAUUUCAAUUCAUACAAGCGAAAUAUGGCCUGUUACUAGGUGUGCUCAUAAACCAUGAGUUUGUUUGUUUGAUAAUCUUUUUCUUCACUUCUUUUUUCCAACAUUCAUUCAUCUAGUAUUGAUUUUUGUCAAUUGUUAAUAUUUAACUUAUUGACUUUUGCAAUAAUUUCCCAAUUAUUAUUUCCUGUUCAUGAAAACAUUGCUACACUCAUUUUUAAAAAGGUGAUUUUUUUUCACAUUAAAUUUAAUAUUUUUUUCUACAACAUGAUAAGUAAAUCCAACUUCAGUGUUAUAGAACAAAAUGUAUUAUUUUGUAUUAUUAUUAUUUUAAUUUUGUCAAUUAUUUAUUAUAAAAUGAUUAUUUAAAGUUUUUUUUUUUAUGGUAAACCUAAAGGCUAUGGCCUGUUACAAGGUGUGCUCUGAGAAUCAAAGGUUCAGAAACCCACAGUUAGCACAUGAACCCUUAAAGGCCUAGCUCUACUUCACCUACCUUGUAAUAUGCAGUUUAUUAAGCAGUUUAUAAAACUGGUGCGUGAGAUCCGACAAAUCUUCCUGACCUUUGAACUGCUCCUUCAUCCCAAAAACAUCGACAAAUCAUCAUACGAUUUUAAAAAGUAUCCUCCGUGGUUUUGAGUUGGUUUACUGUCAGAGUUUGUUGCAGCGUUUCGAAGUGCCAUGUCAACUCUGGCAGCAGGUGCAGUAACAGCAGUAGCGGGACUUGGAUGUUCCAACAGUAGCUGGAUGUUCUUUCUGAUCAGAGCGUUCCUCUCACCUGGCUGCCCUCUUUCUGCCAGAAGAUGGCAGGCGGAGGGUUUCCUGUGGUGCCGCACUGGAAGGUGACGCUCCUUCCCUGGGUGGCAAUCUGGUCCCGCGGCUUGGUGGCAAUCUGAGGCGGCACUGGAGAAGCAACGGCGCCAUUAGCAUU